GAUUAACGCUGGCGGUAUGCAUAACACAUGCAAGUCGAACGGUGAAGCCCAGCUUGCUGGGUGGAUCAGUGGCGAACGGGUGAGUAACACGUGAGCAACCUGCCCUGGACUCUGGGAUAAGCGCUGGAAACGGCGUCUAAUACUGGAUAUGCGACGUGGCCGCAUGGGCAACGGUUGGAAAGAUUUUUCGGUCUGGGAUGGGCUCGCGGCCUAUCAGCCUGUUGGUGAGGUAAGUGCUCACCAAGGCGUCGACGGGUAGCCGGCCUGGGAGGGUGACCGGCCACACUGGGACUGAGACACGGCCCAGUCUCCUACGGGAGGCAGCAGUGGGGAAUAUUGCACAAUGGGCGGAAGCCUGAUGCAGCAACGCCGCGUGAGGGAUGACGGCCUUCGGGUUGUAAACCUCUUUUAGCAAGGAAGAAGCUUUUGUGACGGUACUUGCAGAAAAAGUGCCGGCUAACUACGUGCCAGCAGCCGCGGUAA
rnacentral:rRNA from 1 species